rnacentral:rRNA from 1 species
CCUACGGGAGGCAGCAGUGAGGAAUAUUGGUCAAUGGACGAGAGUCUGAACCAGCCAAGUAGCGUGAAGGAUGACUGCCCUAUGGGUUGUAAACUUCUUUUAUAUGGGAAUAAAAUGUUCCACGUGUGGGUUUUUGUAUGUACCAUAUGAAUAAGGAUCGGCUAACUCCGUGCCAGCAGCCGCGGUAAUACGGAGGAUCCGAGCGUUAUCCGGAUUUAUUGGGUUUAAAGGGAGCGUAGAUGGAUUGUUAAGUCAGUUGUGAAAGUUUGCGGCUCAACCGUAAAAUUGCAGUUGAAACUGGCAGUCUUGAGUACAGUAGAGGUGGGCGGAAUUCGUGGUGUAGCGGUGAAAUGCUUAGAUAUCACGAAGAACUCCGAUUGCGAAGGCAGCUCACUGGACUGCAACUGACACUGAUGCUCGAAAGUGUGGGUAUCAAACAGGAUUAGAUACCCGGGUAGUC